rnacentral:tRNA from 1 species
GGGCGGGUGGCGGAAUUGGCAGACGCGCAGGAUUCAGGAUCCUGUGAGGGCAACCUCAUGGGGGUUCAAGUCCCCCCUCGCCCACCA